rnacentral:lncRNA from 1 species
UCGGCUUGGCGGCCGGGGGUGAUGGAUGGGCACAAAAACGGAAUCAGAGGAACUCCAGGAACACGGUGCUGGCAUCGGCUUGUCCGGCUGUGCACAUUACAGCCAGUGGAGGCGGUGGCCGACGGCGACAUUGCGGUGAAUGGCGCUACGGGUUCCAAAACCCAAAAUCGAUUUAUGGGAAUUGUAGAUUAUGUGUCGAGUUCAGAUGCCUAAGGAAUUCGUUUAUACCUUGCCGGAAACAGAGAAAUCGAUGCGGUGGGCGUUGGCCGGAGUUGGAGAACUCGUCGAAAUUCCUACACCGUGAUCAAUGGAACUCUAAAUUGAUGGAGGCGUACUGCUCCUAGUGGUUUGGAGAUGCUCCAGUGCGAGGGAAUUUGGUGCAGGUUAUGCAUGCUUCAGUGCUCUGAGUUGAUUGAGGUGCUCAUGAAGCCAUGCUUCCUUUUCUGCUCGUUUGGGAACUGGAAGUUUGCAGAGACCAUUCUUCGAUGAAAUAGUUGAACAGAUGUAGAUCUGCUUGCCCAGAUUGUAAGGUAAAUGAUUUAAACCAAAUAGAGGUCUAAUCAUUUUGCAAAGAAUUGGUAUUCUGCCAUUUUUCUGACCCUCACCCCGUGCCUUUCCAGAGAUAGGAUGCCUUUCGAGAACAGAGAGAGAUCAGCUCGAGGGGAUGGAGAGGAGAAGCUGAAGGGGAGGUGGAAGAGGAAUAUCUGGUGUUGAGGGGG